rnacentral:rRNA from 1 species
UCGAGCGGCAGCGCGGGGGCAACCCUGGCGGCGAGCGGCGGACGGGUGAGUAAUGCAUCGGAACGUGUCCUCUUGUGGGGGAUAACCAGUCGAAAGACUGGCUAAUACCGCAUGAGAUCGCAAGAUGAAAGCAGGGGACCCGCAAGGGCCUUGCGCGAGAGGAGCGGCCGAUGCCUGAUUAGCUAGUUGGUGGGGUAAAAGCCUACCAAGGCUACGAUCAGUAGCUGGUCUGAGAGGACGACCAGCCACACUGGGACUGAGACACGGCCCAGACUCCUACGGGAGGCAGCAGUGGGGAAUUUUGGACAAUGGGGGCAACCCUGAUCCAGCCAUGCCGCGUGUGCGAAGAAGGCCUUCGGGUUGUAAAGCACUUUCGGCCGGAACGAAAUCGCGCGGGUGAAUAUCCCGCGUGGAUGACGGUACCGGAAGAAGAAGCACCGGCUAACUACGUGCCAGCAGCCGCGGUAAUACGUAGGGUGCGAGCGUUAAUCGGAAUUACUGGGCGUAAAGCGUGCGCAGGCGGCGUCGCAAGUCAGGCGUGAAAGCCCCGGGCUUAACCUGGGAAUGGCGCUUGAAACUACGAUGCUGGAGUAUGGCAGAGGGAGGUGGAAUUCCACGUGUAGCGGUGAAAUGCGUAGAUAUGUGGAGGAACACCGAUGGCGAAGGCAGCCUCCUGGGCCAAUACUGACGCUCAUGCACG